GUCUAGUGGCACUCAUUGACUAUUGUGAUAACCCCCAAUUAUCAUCAGUCGGAUGGUUCAACAAGAAGAGGCCGGCCAAGUGUAUUCAUCCGCCAUUCUCCGUUCUGAAUAAAUAUAUAAACGUUUUCAUCUUUCAUCGUUCACCAUGUAGUGUAUCCGGUGAUUUUAUGAAUGGUGAUUUCUUUUUAUCGCCUUUGUGGACAAAGGAAGCAGGUCUCAAAUGUUGAAGUGGAAUUAUUUGUGCAAUGUCAGCAAAUUCCGGCCGAUUUCGUUACGCCCAGCUGCAAUUCGUAAAGUACUCCACGACGUAAACAGCGCUAUACCGAAAAUGCUCAGAAAAAAAAAUAAAAUGCAAGACUAUAGUGACUAUUAACAGUAUAAAACUGGGCGUGCUUCUUGCAAAGAUUUAUACAUGUUAUGAUGUAUUUUACCGAUUAUAUACUGUAUGUACAGUUUUGAUGAAAUACAUGUACACUGUACAAUUAUUAUAUGUUUGUUGAAUAAAAUAUUGAAAAUUG
rnacentral:misc_RNA from 1 species